GGUUAAGCGACUAAGCGUACACGGUGGAUGCCCUGGCAGUCAGAGGCGAUGAAGGGCGUGCUAAUCUGCGAUAAGCGCCGGUAAGGUGAUAUGAACCGUUAUAACCGGCGAUACCCGAAUGGGGAAACCCAGUGUGACUCGUCACACUAUCAUUAACUGAAUCCAUAGGUUAAUGAGGCGAACCGGGGGAACUGAAACAUCUAAGUACCCCGAGGAAAAGAAAUCAACCGAGAUUCCCCCAGUAGCGGCGAGCGAACGGGGAGGAGCCCAGAGCCUGAAUCAGCAUAUGUGUUAGUGGAAGCGUCUGGAAAGGCGCGCGAUACAGGGUGACAGCCCCGUACACAAAAGCGCAUGUGCUGUGAGCUCGAUGAGUAGGGCGGGACACGUGGUAUCCUGUCUGAAUAUGGGGGGACCAUCCUCCAAGGCUAAAUACUCCUGACUGACCGAUAGUGAACCAGUACCGUGAGGGAAAGGCGAAAAGAACCCCGGCGAGGGGAGUGAAAAAGAACCUGAAACCGUGUACGUACAAGCAGUGGGAGCCCCACCACCAAAGCAUUCUCUGGUGUUGAAGGCCCUGCAAAGCAGCAUCGCGGUGGCGGAGCGUCGUUUGCGACGCCCAACACACAAAACAAACGGUGAGUGCUUUGGGGUGGGGUGACUGCGUACCUUUUGUAUAAUGGGUCAGCGACUUAUAUUCUGUAGCAAGGUUAACCGUAUAGGGGAGCCGAAGGGAAACCGAGUCUUAACCGGGCGUUAAGUUGCAGGGUAUAGACCCGAAACCCGGUGAUCUAGCCAUGGGCAGGUUGAAGGUUGGGUAACACUAACUGGAGGACCGAACCGACUAAUGUUGAAAAAUUAGCGGAUGACCUGUGGCUGGGGGUGAAAGGCCAAUCAAACCGGGAGAUAGCUGGUUCUCCCCGAAAGCUAUUUAGGUAGCGCCUCGUGAAUUCAUCUCCGGGGGUAGAGCACUGUUUCGGCUAGGGGGCCAUCCCGGCUUACCAACCCGAUGCAAACUGCGAAUACCGGAGAAUGUUAUCACGGGAGACACACGGCGGGUGCUAACGUCCGUCGUGAAGAGGGAAACAACCCAGACCGCCAGCUAAGGUCCCAAAGUCAUGGUUAAGUGGGAAACGAUGUGGGAAGGCCCAGACAGCCAGGAUGUUGGCUUAGAAGCAGCCAUCAUUUAAAGAAAGCGUAAUAGCUCACUGGUCGAGUCGGCCUGCGCGGAAGAUGUAACGGGGCUAAACCAUGCACCGAAGCUGCGGCAGCGACACUAUGUGUUGUUGGGUAGGGGAGCGUUCUGUAAGCCUGCGAAGGUGGCCUGUGAGGGUUGCUGGAGGUAUCAGAAGUGCGAAUGCUGACAUAAGUAACGAUAAAGCGGGUGAAAAGCCCGCUCGCCGGAAGACCAAGGGUUCCUGUCCAACGUUAAUCGGGGCAGGGUGAGUCGACCCCUAAGGCGAGGCCGAAAGGCGUAGUCGAUGGGAAACGGGUUAAUAUUCCCGUACUUGGUGUUACUGCGAAGGGGGGACGGAGAAGGCUAUGUUGGCCGGGCGACGGUUGUCCCGGUUUAAGCGUGUAGGUGUGUGUUCCAGGUAAAUCCGGUUCACUUUAACACUGAGGCGUGACGACGAGGCACUACGGUGCUGAAGCAACAAAUGCCCUGCUUCCAGGAAAAGCCUCUAAGCAUCAGGUAACAUCAAAUCGUACCCCAAACCGACACAGGUGGUCAGGUAGAGAAUACCAAGGCGCUUGAGAGAACUCGGGUGAAGGAACUAGGCAAAAUGGUGCCGUAACUUCGGGAGAAGGCACGCUGACACGUAGGUGAAGUGAUUUACUCACGGAGCUGAAGUCAGUCGAAGAUACCAGCUGGCUGCAACUGUUUAUUAAAAACACAGCACUGUGCAAACACGAAAGUGGACGUAUACGGUGUGACGCCUGCCCGGUGCCGGAAGGUUAAUUGAUGGGGUCAGCGCAAGCGAAGCUCCUGAUCGAAGCCCCGGUAAACGGCGGCCGUAACUAUAACGGUCCUAAGGUAGCGAAAUUCCUUGUCGGGUAAGUUCCGACCUGCACGAAUGGCGUAAUGAUGGCCAGGCUGUCUCCACCCGAGACUCAGUGAAAUUGAACUCGCUGUGAAGAUGCAGUGUACCCGCGGCAAGACGGAAAGACCCCGUGAACCUUUACUAUAGCUUGACACUGAACAUUGAGCCUUGAUGUGUAGGAUAGGUGGGAGGCUUUGAAGCGUGGACGCCAGUCUGCGUGGAGCCGACCUUGAAAUACCACCCUUUAAUGUUUGAUGUUCUAACGUGGACCCGUGAUCCGGGUUGCGGACAGUGUCUGGUGGGUAGUUUGACUGGGGCGGUCUCCUCCUAAAGAGUAACGGAGGAGCACGAAGGUUGGCUAAUCCUGGUCGGACAUCAGGAGGUUAGUGCAAUGGCAUAAGCCAGCUUGACUGCGAGCGUGACGGCGCGAGCAGGUGCGAAAGCAGGUCAUAGUGAUCCGGUGGUUCUGAAUGGAAGGGCCAUCGCUCAACGGAUAAAAGGUACUCCGGGGAUAACAGGCUGAUACCGCCCAAGAGUUCAUAUCGACGGCGGUGUUUGGCACCUCGAUGUCGGCUCAUCACAUCCUGGGGCUGAAGUAGGUCCCAAGGGUAUGGCUGUUCGCCAUUUAAAGUGGUACGCGAGCUGGGUUUAGAACGUCGUGAGACAGUUCGGUCCCUAUCUGCCGUGGGCGCUGGAGAACUGAGGGGGGCUGCUCCUAGUACGAGAGGACCGGAGUGGACGCAUCACUGGUGUUCGGGUUGUCAUGCCAAUGGCACUGCCCGGUAGCUAAAUGCGGAAGAGAUAAGUGCUGAAAGCAUCUAAGCACGAAACUUGCCCCGAGAUGAGUUCUCCCUGAGACUUUAGGUCUCCUGAAGGAACGUUGAAGACGACGACGUUGAUAGGCCGGGUGUGUAAGCGCAGCGAUGCGUUGAGCUAACCGGUACUAAUGAACCGUGAGGCUUAACCUU
rnacentral:rRNA from 1 species